CCAAUAGCGUAUAUUAAAGUUGUUGCAGUUAAAAAGCUCGUAGUUGAAUUUCGGGAUCAGUAUGUUGGUCGUGCCUUGGUACGUACUAGUUUAUUGAUUUCUUCCUUCUGACGAAUCAUGAUGCCAUUAAUUUGGUGUCAUGGGGAAUCAGGACUGUUACUUUGAAAAAAUUAGAGUGUUUAAAGCAGGCUCACGCUUGAAUACAUUAGCAUGGAAUAAUGAAAUAGGACGUUUGAUUCUAUUUUGUUGGUUUCUAGGAUCGACGUAAUGAUUAAUAGGGAUAGUUGGGGGCAUUAGUAUUCAAUUGUCAGAGGUGAAAUUCUUGGAUUUAUUGAAGACUAACUACUGCGAAAGCAUUUGCCAAGGAUGUUUUCAUUAAUCAAGAACGAAAGUUAGGGGAUCGAAGACGAUCAGAUACCGUCGUAGUCUUAACCAUAAACUAUGCCGACUAGGGAUCGGAUGAUGUUAAUUUUUUAAUGACUCAUUCGGUGCCUUACG
rnacentral:rRNA from 1 species